GACGAACGCUGGCGGCGUGCUUAACACAUGCAAGUCGAACGAAGAGCGAUGGAAGCUUGCUUCUAUCAAUCUUAGUGGCGAGCGGGUGAGUAACGCGUAAUCAACCUGCCCUUCAGAGGGGGACAACAGUUGGAAACGACUGCUAAUACCGCAUACGAUCUAAACUCGGCAUCGAGGAUAGAUGAAAGGUGGCCUCUACAUGUAAGCUAUCACUGAAGGAGGGGAUUGCGUCUGAUUAGCUAGUUGGAGGGGUAACGGCCCACCAAGGCGAUGAUCAGUAGCCGGUCUGAGAGGAUGAACGGCCACAUUGGGACUGAGACACGGCCCAGACUCCUACGGGAGGCAGCAGUGGGGAAUCUUCCGCAAUGGACGAAAGUCUGACGGAGCAACGCCGCGUGAGUGAUGACGGCCUUCGGGUUGUAAAGCUCUGUUAAUCGGGACGAAAGGCCUUCUUGCGAAUAGUGAGAAGGAUUGACGGUACCGGAAUAGAAAGCCACGGCUAACUACGU
rnacentral:rRNA from 1 species